rnacentral:rRNA from 1 species
UAUUAAGUCAGUGGUGAAAUCCUGCAGCUUAACUGUAGAACUGCCAUUGAUACUGAUAUUCUUGAAUAUAGUUGAGGUGGGCGGAAUGUGUAAUGUAGCGGUGAAAUGCUUAGAUAUUACACAGAACACCAAUUGCGAAGGCAGCUCACUAAACUAAUAUUGACGCUGAGGCACGAAAGCGUGGGUAGCAAACAGGAUUAGAUACCCUGGUAGUCCACGCUGUAAACUAUGAUCACUCGCUGUUGGCAAUACAUCGUCAGCGGCUGAGCGAAAGCAUUAAGUGAUCCACCUGGGGAGUACGGUCGCAAGAUUGAAACUCAAAGGAAUUGACGGGGGCCCGCACAAGCGGAGGAACAUGUGGUUUAAUUCGAUGAUACGCGAGGAACCUUACCUGGGCUUAAAUGCAGAGCGACGUCCGCCGAAAGGUGGAUUCCUUCGGGCGAUCUGCAAGGUGCUGCAUGGUUGUCGUCAGCUCGUGCCGUGAGGUGUCGGGUUAAGUCCCAUAACGAGCGCAACCCUUAUCGUUAGUUGCCAGCGGGUAAUGCCGGGGACUCUAACGAAACUGCCGGUGUAAACCGUGAGGAAGGUGGGGAUGACGUCAAAUCAGCACGGCCCUUAUGUCCAGGGCUACACACGUGUUACAAUGGUCGGUACAGAGGGCAGCUACCACGCGAGUGGAUGCUAAUCUCGAAAACCGGUCUCAGUUCGGAUUGAAGUCUGCAACUCGACUU